rnacentral:lncRNA from 9 species
CCCAGUGCCUUCAGAGGGAGGCAAUGCCUUGAACUUGGAUUUAUAGACUGAUGUACAAUCCUUCCCCCAGGAGCUCAGAAGCCUGCUAACCUUGGAAAAACUCUUGGCCUCUUCACAACUCUGCUUUAUACAGAAAGAUAGCUGGAGCCUGGUGUGUAAAUGGGGAGACCAUAUCCCGGAGAGAUGAAAUGAUUUAUUUGUGUAAGCAAAUAAUGAUUUAUUUGUGUAAGCUUACACAAGUCUUUAAAAGAAUGAAGCCAAGAAAAUUAACUCUGCCAAUGUGCUAAUUGUCUGCCAACUACUUAUCUUGCAUCCAAUGCUUCUUACCCAGCUUAAGCUUGAUCCUUAGGAUGCCCUGUGCUCAAGGCUGGAGCAGCCACAAAUGAAUAGCGGAUUGGGGGUGUUGAAGAAUAACAUCAGGCCAAGUGUCACUAGACUGUUGAAAGACUCGUUUAUACCUCCAAGGAUGAAUCCUUCCUUUAUCUACAAUCGUCCAAUUUUCCCACUCUGCUUGGCUUCCUCUCCUUCCACUGUGAAGAACAGAUUCCAAGGUGGGAGGAUGCUUAAACUAGGAUGUCCAUUGGAGACUCUGAGGAGCAGAGAAUUUUACUUUAUCCUCAGCAGGAACUAGAGUCCCAGGAAGGAGAGCAAGAAGAAGACCUGGGCCAGAGGGGCUACCUCUUCUCAUUCUUUUUGGACAGGGCUGGAGGUUGUAGUCUUGUAGUUUCAAGAAUCAAGUCUGGGCUCUAAUAAGGACCGUGGUGCUUGAACAACUUGUUUUUGAGACAAGAUUUGUCAUGCUUCCUUGGGAAGAAGCCAAUAAGGAGGAAUCACCUUCAGCUGGGUUUUUUUUCUGAUUUCAUAUUGUAAUGAGCUUCUGGAAACUAAACACAUAGUAAAAAGGCUAGGAUACAUUGAUAAACAUUUUAAAAAUAAAACUUGAAAUCCCAUCAUGCAUAGAUAUAUGCCACAUUUAUAUUUGCUUGAGGAAAAUAUAGAGAUGGAUUAAAUUUAUAUAUUUAUAAAUACCAUAUAUAUAUAUAUAUAUAUAUAUAUAUAUAUAUAUAUAUAUACACACACACAUCCGU